GGCGAGGUGCCGGAGUGGUUAUCGGGAACGCCUAGAACUUCUCGUUCUACGCCGAAGCGGCGGCAAGCGUUUGGUCUCUGACCGCACAGGUUCGAAUCCUGUUCUCGUCG
rfam:Malassezia sympodialis ATCC 42132 genomic scaffold, msy_sf_11